rnacentral:piRNA from 1 species
AAGCUGUAGCGAUCCUUAGGUCGC